rnacentral:misc_RNA from 1 species
AGUUGGAUCAUUUUUCCGAUUUCAAAAAAAUCACCGUGGCGCGAUUCGCCCCAAAAAAAAUGACAAAUAUUUCUCUCUUGUGUGUGUUUUCUCCAAUCUCUUGCACACAUCGCGCAUGCGCCGCACUUUUAAGUGUUUGUGUGUGUGUGUGUCUCUUGGUUCGCGACUGGAACAAAAGAACGACCUGAGCCACAAAACGGCUUCACCGCUGGUGGAAGUUGAGUUUGCUGGGGGUCGCGUGUCGCCACGUUUGCUCUUUUUUCUGUGCGUGUUUUUUUCUCGAAAGAGGUGAAAUGCGCAAAAGAGAGAGAGUGAAGUGGGUUGGCCUGCUGCAAUUUCUUUCCCUUUCUUUUUUUUGCGUUCGCAAAAUAAAACAAAGCGGAAACGAGACUCUGCGUCCGGUACUCGGACAGAGGUUCCAAAGCUCAGGUCCAGCUCAAGCGCGCGCGCGGCAACCGCCUCAUCGGCCCCAGUGCUGGGCUGCGGAUACCAGGAAAUUCGUUCUCUCCCACGUCUCGCACGAGAGAUACACACACAUAUGCCACACUCUCAUUUUUUGAGCGUGUGUGUGUGUGUGUGUGUUUGUGUGUGUGAGUGAGAGAAGAGAAAACGCGUACAGUGAGGAAUUGUCUUUUUUAAAGAAUCUCCCACUUCAAAAAAACUACUUCAUUACAAUUUUUGCCGCCCAACAACGGUUGGCGACGGCUCCCACAACGUGUCGCGAUAGAUGACUUGGCUUCCCAUUUCGUUGAAGAACGCAGCAAAGUGCGAUAAGUGGUAUCAAUUGCAGAACCUUUCAAUUACCGAAUCUUUGAACGCAAACGGCGCUCGGAAGAAGGCACCUCUGGUGUUCAACUCCGAGCAUGCCAUGUCCUCAGUGUCGAACAAAAACCAUCUCAACAAGCAGAUUCUGUGCUUGGCGUCUCUCACACACUUUUUACUUCAUGAGGGGAGUUAUUCUCUCGUGUUGUUUUUUGUUUGUUGUGGGGUGCCGGUGCGGUGGCUCUCUCUGUUCUGUGCCCGCCUUUGUGGGCGCGAUAACGAGCGAAACCAAAAAAUACUGCUCCUGGCGCGUUUUUUUGCCCACACGCAAAAACGCGCGCCGAGAGGCGUCCCGUUCUUUUCUCCCUGCUCGGGAAAAAGAAGAACUAAAGCAAUUGAAAAAUUCUUUGUGUUCUUUUGUCAAUUUGAUCGAGCCAGGCGAGACGGGAGAUUUACACAAUCGGUUCACAGACCUGAGCGUGGCAGGACUACCCGCCGAACUUAAGCAUAUUAUUCAGCGGAGGAAAAGAAAACAACCGUGAUUCCCUUAGUCAGGGGCGACCGAACAGGGAACGAACCCGUUGCUGAAUCGGGCGCUCAAACGCGCUCCGAGUUGUGGCAACAACGCUGAUUGUGGUUGGUGAGCGGACUGGCGAAAUCAAUGUGCAAAGCAGACCCGUUGCUGGACACAACCUCUUAUGUGAGUAUUGAGCCCUAGACCGGUGUUAGCCCGUUGAGCCAGAAACCGCGGCCUCAUGAGACAGCGCCAAGAGAGUAGCACUGCUUGGGAGUGCAGUGUGAAGUGGCAGGUAUGUGUCUGCCAAGGUUAAAUACAGAGUGGGAAGACCGAUAGCGAACAAGUAGCGUGAGCGAAAGUUUGAAAAGCACUUUGGAAAGAGAGUGACAUAGAACCUGAAGUCGUGACAACGACAAUGGACGUACCUCCGUUUCAUUUUCGGUCAGGGCCGACCACCUAAGCAUUAUCCCGCGCGGACUCCUAGAGGCCGCGUGGGCAAACAAAGUGCAGAAGAGGGGUACCGGCAAAGCGAGCGGAAGUAAAGUGUGCGCCGGCCGGCGUGGCGAGUGUAAAAAGCUCGUCGGCGUCGUGAGGCGUGCACUUUUCCGUGAUGCUCAAACACCUGGCGCUGGAAACGGGGUGCCUCCACCCGUCUUGAAACACGGACCAAGGAGUCAAACAGACGCGCAAGGGAGAGGAUUCUACACAAGUACCAUCUCUCGUACUGAAAGGGAGGUCGCAAGACCAAUGGUGUGCAUUUUUUAUAGACUCAACACCGACCGGCCCCGUACGCGGGUUGCGUUAGAGUGUGCCUGUUUGGACCCGAAAGGUGGUGAACUAUGCCUGAACAAGGUGAAGCCCGGGGAAACCCAGGUGGAGGCCUGUAGCGAUGCUGACGUGCAAAUCGCUCGCAUGAUUUGGGUAUCGGAGCGAAAGACUCAUCGAACCACCUAGUAGCUGGUUCACAU